UACGAGGGGUGCAAGCGUUGCUCGGAAUUAUUGGGCGUAAAGGGUAGGUAGGUGGUCUUAUUUGUCUGGGGUGAAAGCCUUGAGCUUAACUCAAGAAGUGCCCCAGAAACGGUGAGACUAGAGUACUGGAGAGGGUCGUGGAAUUCCCGGUGUAGCGGUGAAAUGCGUAGAGAUCGGGAGGAACACCAGAGGCGAAGGCGGCGACCUGGACAGUGACUGACACUCAACUACGAAAGCGUGGGGAGCAAACAGG
rnacentral:rRNA from 1 species